GAUGAACGCUAGCGGGAGGCCUAACACAUGCAAGCCGAGCGGGAUUUGUUGGUUAGCUUGCUAACUAACAAUGAGAGCGGCGUACGGGUGUGUAGCACGUGUGCAACCUGCCUUUAUCUGGGGGAUAGCCUUUCGAAAGGAAGAUUAAUACCCCAUAACAUAUUGAUUGGCAUCAGUUAAUAUUGAAAGCUCCGGCGGAUAGAGAUGGGCACGCGUAAGAUUAGCUAGUUGGUGAGGUAACGGCUCACCAAGGCUGCGAUCUUUAGGGGGCCUGAGAGGGGGAUCCCCCACACUGGUACUGAGACACGGACCAGACUCCUACGGGAGGCAGCAGUGAGGAAUAUUGGACAAUGGGUGAGAGCCUGAUCCAGCCAUCCCGCGUGAAGGACUAAGGACCUAUGGUUUGUAAACUUCUUUUAUACAGGGAUAAACCUACUCUCGUGAGGGUAGCUGAAGGUACUGGAUGAAUAAGCACCGGCUAACUCCGUG
rnacentral:rRNA from 1 species